rnacentral:rRNA from 1 species
GACGAACGCUGGCGGCGUGCCUAAUACAUGCGAGUAGAACGCUGAAGGAGGAGCUUGCUUCUCUGGAUGAGUUGCGAACGGGUGAGUAACGCGUAGGUAACCUGCCUGGUAGCGGGGGAUAACUAUUGGAAACGAUAGCUAAUACCGCAUAAGAGUAGAUGUCGCAUGACAUUUGCUUAAAAGGUGCAAUUGCAUCACUACCAGAUGGACCUGCGUUGUAUUAGCUAGUUGGUGAGGUAACGGCUCACCAAGGCAACGAUACAUAGCCGGCCUGAGAGGGUGAUCGGCCACACUGGGACUGAGACACGGCCCAGACUCCUACGGGAGGCAGCAGUAGGGAAUCUUCGGCAAUGGACGGAAGUCUGACCGAGCAACGCCGCGUGAGUGAAGAAGGUUUUCGGAUCGUAAAGCUCUGUUGUAAGAGAAGAACGAGUGUGAGAGUGGAAAGUUCACACUGUGACGGUAUCUUACCAGAAAGGGACGGCUAACUACGUG